CGUGGGUAACCUGCCUUAUACAGGGGGAUAACAGUCAGAAAUGGCUGCUAAUACCGCAUAAGCGCACAGAGCUGCAUGGCUCAGUGUGAAAAACUCCGGUGGUAUAAGAUGGACCCGCGUUGGAUUAGCUAGUUGGCAGGGCAGCGGCCUACCAAGGCGACGAUCCAUAGCCGGCCUGAGAGGGUGAACGGCCACAUUGGGACUGAGACACGGCCCAG
rnacentral:rRNA from 1 species